rnacentral:rRNA from 1 species
UACGUAGGGUGCAAGCGUUGUCCGGAAUUAUUGGGCGUAAAGAGCUCGUAGGCGGUUUGUCGCGUCUGCUGUGAAAACCCGGGGCUCAACCUCGGGCCUGCAGUGGGUACGGGCAGACUAGAGUGCGGUAGGGGAGAUUGGAAUUCCUGGUGUAGCGGUGGAAUGCGCAGAUAUCAGGAGGAACACCGAUGGCGAAGGCGGCUCUCUGGGACGGUACUGACGCUGAGACGCGAAAGCGUGGGGAGCGAACAGG